UACGAAGGGGGCUAGCGUUGCUCGGAAUUACUGGGCGUAAAGGGCGCGUAGGCGGAUACUUAAGUCGGGGGUGAAAGCCCGGGGCUCAACCUCGGAAUUGCCUUCGAUACUGGGUAUCUUGAGUUCGGGAGAGGUGAGUGGAAUGCCGAGUGUAGAGGUGAAAUUCGUAGAUAUUCGGCGGAACACCAGUGGCGAAGGCGACUCACUGGCCCGAUACUGACGCUGAGGUGCGAAAGCGUGGGGAGCAAACAGG
rnacentral:rRNA from 1 species